AGAACGAACGCUGGCGGCAGGCCUCAAACAUGCAAGUCUAGGGGGUGUAGCAAUACAUCACCGGCGGACGGGUGCGUAACACGUGGGAAUAUACCUUUUGGUUCGGAACAACGCAGGGAAACUUGCGCUAAUACCGAAUGUGCCCUUACGGGGAAAGAUUUAUCGCCAAAGGAUUAGCCCGCGUAGGAUUAGCUAGUUGGUGAGGUAAUGGCUCACCAAGGCUCCGAUCCUUAGCUGUUCUGAGAGGAAGAUCAGCCACACUGGGACUGAGACACGGCCCAGACUCCUACGGGAGGCAGCAGUUGGGAAUCUUGGACAAUGGGGGAAACCCUGAUCCAGCCAUGCCGCGUGAGUGAUGAAGGCCUUCGGGUUGUAAAACUCUUUCGACGGGGACGAUAAUGACGGUACCCGUAGAAGAAGCUCGGCUAACUUCGUGCCAGCAGCCGC
rnacentral:rRNA from 1 species